rnacentral:rRNA from 2 species
GUGUGUUCCAGGUAAAUCCGGUUCACUUUAACACUGAGGCGUGACGACGAGGCACUACGGUGCUGAAGCAACAAAUGCCCUGCUUCCAGGAAAAGCCUCUAAGCAUCAGGUAACAUCAAAUCGUACCCCAAACCGACACAGGUGGUCAGGUAGAGAAUACCAAGGCGCUUGAGAGAACUCGGGUGAAGGAACUAGGCAAAAUGGUGCCGUAACUUCGGGAGAAGGCACGCUGACACGUAGGUGAAGUGAUUUACUCAUGGAGCUGAAGUCAGUCGAAGAUACCAGCUGGCUGCAACUGUUUAUUAAAAACACAGCACUGUGCAAACACGAAAGUGGACGUAUACGGUGUGACGCCUGCCCGGUGCCGGAAGGUUAAUUGAUGGGGUCAGCGCAAGCGAAGCUCCUGAUCGAAGCCCCGGUAAACGGCGGCCGUAACUAUAACGGUCCUAAGGUAGCGAAAUUCCUUGUCGGGUAAGUUCCGACCUGCACGAAUGGCGUAAUGAUGGCCAGGCUGUCUCCACCCGAGACUCAGUGAAAUUGAACUCGCUGUGAAGAUGCAGUGUACCCGCGGCAAGACGGAAAGACCCCGUGAACCUUUACUAUAGCUUGACACUGAACAUUGAGCCUUGAUGUGUAGGAUAGGUGGGAGGCUUUGAAGUGUGGACGCCAGUCUGCAUGGAGCCGACCUUGAAAUACCACCCUUUAAUGUUUGAUGUUCUAACGUGGACCCGUUACCCGGGUUGCGGACAGUGUCUGGUGGGUAGUUUGACUGGGGCGGUCUCCUCCUAAAGAGUAACGGAGGAGCACGAAGGUUGGCUAAUCCUGGUCGGACAUCAGGAGGUUAGUGCAAUGGCAUAAGCCAGCUUGACUGCGAGCGUGACGGCGCGAGCAGGUGCGAAAGCAGGUCAUAGUGAUCCGGUGGUUCUGAAUGGAAGGGCCAUCGCUCAACGGAUAAAAGGUACUCCGGGGAUAACAGGCUGAUACCGCCCAAGAGUUCAUAUCGACGGCGGUGUUUGGCACCUCGAUGUCGGCUCAUCACAUCCUGGGGCUGAAGUAGGUCCCAAGGGUAUGGCUGUUCGCCAUUUAAAGUGGUACGCGAGCUGGGUUUAGAACGUCGUGAGACAGUUCGGUCCCUAUCUGCCGUGGGCGCUGGAGAACUGAGGGGGGCUGCUCCUAGUACGAGAGGACCGGAGUGGACGCAUCACUGGUGUUCGGGUUGUCAUGCCAAUGGCACUGCCCGGUAGCUAAAUGCGGAAGAGAUAAGUGCUGAAAGCAUCUAAGCACGAAACUUGCCCCGAGAUGAGUUCUCCCUGAGACUUAGAGUCUCCUGAAGGAACGUUGAAGACGACGACGUUGAUAGGCCGGGUGUGUAAGCGCAGCGAUGCGUUGAGCUAACCGGUACUAAUGAACCGUGAGGCUUAACCUUACAACGCCGAAG